rnacentral:sRNA from 1 species
CAUCUCACUCCAGACCCUGGCCUGCCCCUGAUAAAACCGAAAGGAAAACGUUUGCCUUCACACACCCUGGUACAAUCUUGCAGAUUGCAUUUCGCCGGGAAAACGAUACAGGACGACAGGAGGGGGUCAAUGGCCGGUACGCUUAUAAAUAAGCGUCGAAUUUUGACUUAUCCUGGCGCAAAGUGGAAGAACAAAAACAAACAUCCUGCUAAAUCUGUGAAGAUUUUUACGAUUAACUGUGCAAAAAUGAUUAAACGCAGUUUUACUGUGGAAAUCAAAAGGAGAAAAAUUGAUGAGCACCGAUCUUAAGUUGUCACUCGGUACUACCUUUAUUGCGCUUGCUCUGAUCGUCGCAGCAAGUUUCACCGCUAUAUUGCAUUAAU